rnacentral:rRNA from 1 species
GACGAACGCUGGCGGCGUGCCUAAUACAUGCAAGUCGAACGAACUCUGGUAUUGAUUGGUGCUUGCAUCAUGAUUUACAUUUGAGUGAGUGGCGAACUGGUGAGUAACACGUGGGAAACCUGCCCAGAAGCGGGGGAUAACACCUGGAAACAGAUGCUAAUACCGCAUAACAACUUGGACCGCAUGGUCCGAGUUUGAAAGAUGGCUUCGGCUAUCACUUUUGGAUGGUCCCGCGGCGUAUUAGCUAGAUGGUGGGGUAACGGCUCACCAUGGCAAUGAUACGUAGCCGACCUGAGAGGGUAAUCGGCCACAUUGGGACUGAGACACGGCCCAAACUCCUACGGGAGGCAGCAGUAGGGAAUCUUCCACAAUGGACGAAAGUCUGAUGGAGCAACGCCGCGUGAGUGAAGAAGGGUUUCGGCUCGUAAAACUCUGUUGUUAAAGAAGAACAUAUCUGAGAGUAACUGUUCAGGUAUUGACGGUAUUUAACCAGAAAGCCACGGCUAACUACGUGCCAGCAGCCGCGGUAAUACGUAGGUGGCAAGCGUUGUCCGGAUUUAUUGGGCGUAAAGCGAGCGCAGGCGGUUUUUUAAGUCUGAUGUGAAAGCCUUCGGCUCAACCGAAGAAGUGCAUCGGAAACUGGGAAACUUGAGUGCAGAAGAGGACAGUGGAACUCCAUGUGUAGCGGUGAAAUGCGUAGAUAUAUGGAAGAACACCAGUGGCGAAGGCGGCUGUCUGGUCUGUAACUGACGCUGAGGCUCGAAAGUAUGGGUAGCAAACAGGAUUAGAUACCCUGGUAGUCCAUACCGUAAACGAUGAAUGCUAAGUGUUGGAGGGUUUCCGCCCUUCAGUGCUGCAGCUAACGCAUUAAGCAUUCCGCCUGGGGAGUACGGCCGCAAGGCUGAAACUCAAAGGAAUUGACGGGGGCCCGCACAAGCGGUGGAGCAUGUGGUUUAAUUCGAAGCUACGCGAAGAACCUUACCAGGUCUUGACAUACUAUGCAAAUCUAAGAGAUUAGACGUUCCCUUCGGGGACAUGGAUACAGGAGGUGCAUGGUUGUCGUCAGCUCGUGUCGUGAGAUGUUGGGUUAAGUCCCGCAACGAGCGCAACCCUUAUUAUCAGUUGCCAGCAUUAAGUUGGGCACUCUGGUGAGACUGCCGGUGACAAACCGGAGGAAGGUGGGGAUGACGUCAAAUCAUCAUGCCCCUUAUGACCUGGGCUACACACGUGCUACAAUGGAUGGUACAACGAGUUGCGAACUCGCGAGAGUAAGCUAAUCUCUUAAAGCCAUUCUCAGUUCGGAUUGUAGGCUGCAACUCGCCUACAUGAAGUCGGAAUCGCUAGUAAUCGCGGAUCAGCAUGCCGCGGUGAAUACGUUCCCGGGCCUUGUACACACCGCCCGUCACACCAUGAGAGUUUGUAACACCCAAAGUCGGUGGGGUAACCUUUUAGGAACCAGCCGCCUAAGGUGGGACAGAUGAUUAGGGUGAAG